UACGGAGGAUGCAAGCGUUAUCCGGAAUGAUUGGGCGUAAAGCGUCCGCAGGUGGCUAUGUAAGUCUGCUGUUAAAGAGUCUAGCUCAACUAGAUAAGAGCAGUGGAAACUACAAGGCUAGAGUACGUUCGGGGCAGAGGGAAUUCCUGGUGUAGCGGUGAAAUGCGUAGAGAUCAGGAAGAACACCAGUGGCGAAGGCGCUCUGCUAGGCCGCAACUGACACUCAUGGACGAAAGCUAGGGGAGCGAAUGGG
rnacentral:rRNA from 1 species